ensembl:lncRNA
GUCUACUCAGGGCCAAUCUGCAGGUUAAUUUAUGGCAGCGGGCACUCUGAUGAUUUGGGAUCAUUUAAGCUCAUUACUACGGCACCUGGUGCCCAGGCUGCCCCAGUAGCUUAACUGGUCAUGUGACUUGAGUGACAUCAUCACCACUUUUCCCCACUUCCUGGAUUAAUGUUUGGUGGCCUACUUUUCCUCCGAAGCCUCUGGCAGAAGAUCCUGAGGAAGCAAAGCAUAAUACCGAUAAAUAUUAGAUCCUUCACUGCACUACUGGUUACAAGGAAAGAGGAAAUAUUCCGUUUUACAGGUUCUUCAUCCACCUCGACCUCACCCCCCAAUCCCCAAACUGUUGGAAGACGGCACAGCGAAAGUGCACAGGCCUGUCUUAUUCUUUGGAGGGAAGCACUUUCUCUUGUCAUUGGCUUUUUCCUUCUAGCCACGAAGAAAUGUACUUUUGCGAAGAACUGGAAAGAGGAUUCUGUGAACUUGUAUGGAGAAGCUGUUGACGGUGAAGGAUGUAACAUUGUGCUGAAAUAACUGGCUGAAAGAAACUCAGGGAAGAAAUAAAAGAGACAUGAGGAGAAGGCUCUCUGCUGGAUAGAAUGACCGAAUCUGGUGGAAGGAGGGUCCUGGGGGCAGUGGGAGGCAGGGUUCUCAAUGAAGUGGGUGCACAGGUUAUUAUCCCAGAGCCAUCCCCAGUCCUUAUUAGCAUCACCUGCUUGUUUCCAGCUCAGAGAUUCAGCUCCACUUUCCUUUGGCAAAGGGAGAGGCAUUUCAAGAUAUUUGGUCCUCAACAUCUGGAAGAGAGAAAACUCUUAAUAUACGGUGUUUUAAGGAAAACUUCAGGAUGCAAGCCAACAAAUAUCAAAGAAGAUAAUGAAGAUCCUGGAGCAGUUGCUCUCAUCAGAGAUGUUCCACAGCGCUGGGUGGACUCUCCUGGAGCUUCAGCAGGCGUUUAUAGACUGGUUCUCAUACGGGCAUAGUGAUGAUUUUUGUCUUCUCUACACUGGAGAGGGAAUGAAGAGUUUCUGUCAUUCCUAGAAAUUAACUGAGUGUUGGCCAUUAAGAUUUUUUAAUGUGUCUAGUGAAGACAGUUUGAAGAGACCAAGGAUUUCACGGUGUUUGGGCUAUGAAAAAUGAAGAUUGUAUUAGGGAUAAAACAAUAAUUAUUUCAUAAACAAGAUAAUUCAUAAAAUAGUCUAUGUGAAACCAGAAGUUCAGUUCAUGGUGAGUUCUCAACGAUACUUCUCAUUUUGAUUUUAAAAGCUGUAUGUUUUGUUAGCUGAUUUGAAUAUUCAAUUCUCUCCUUGUUUCCUUUUCAUAAUAAUUGGCAUUUUCUGGGGCAAUUAUUUAAACUCAAAGAUGUAUCUACAGUGAGCUGGUUGUCAUUUUGUGUGAGAUAAGUAACAGCAUCACACUUCCCUUAAGAAUGUUAAAGUGGAGAUAAAAUUAUUCCUUUCAAAUGACUCUCUGGCUUUGAUCCCAGUCAAGAGUAGUUAAAGCAGAGAGAAUUGGAAACCGUAUUCUUAGUCAUCAAAAUAGAUGAAUUUAAUCUUUAUAUAGUCCUUUGCAACUUCUAGAACUUCAAUACAUGUAAGAUAUUAAUUCUUUCCUGGGAAAUGGAAAUUAAAGAGUUUAAGAAAAUCUCCCAAUAGGAGGAAAUUAGGAGAACACCUUUUAAGUUUUCUGAGAGAGCUGAAUUUUGUCAAUUUUCUGGCACAGCUGAGACAGACAAAUGUAUUAUUUGUUUCUUUUUUAGAACUGACAAACAAUACCAUUUCUUUUCACUUUUUAAUUUUUUUAAUCUUCACAGGCCUCCAUUUCUGUUCACUUGUAUUGACAAAGCCCAAGUCAUUAAUUAAAGAAAAAAAUAUCUUAAAAAUCAAUUAGUGAGAGAGCAUUGAUGUCAAUGUACUAAACACUGAUAUACUCAUAUUUAUAUUAAAA